rnacentral:misc_RNA from 1 species
GUUGUUGAGGUUAAAAAGCUCGUAGUUGA